GCAAAGGUUUUGGGGCAGUUGGUAGCACUGUUGCCUUUGCAGCAAGAAGGUCCCGGGGUUCAAUUCCCCAGCCGGGGGUCUUUCUGCA